rnacentral:rRNA from 1 species
UACGAAGGGAGCUAGCGUUGUUCGGAAUUACUGGGCGUAAAGGGCGCGUAGGUGGCUUAGCAAGUUGGGUGUGAAAGCCCAGGGCUCAACCCUGGAAUUGCAUUCAAGACUGCUUUGCUUGAAUUCGGUAGAGGUUGGUGGAAUUCCCAGUGUAGAGGUGAAAUUCGUAGAGAUUGGGAAGAACACCCGUGGCGAAGGCGGCCAACUGGACCGACAUUGACACUGAGGCGCGAAAGCGUGGGGAUCAAACAGG